AGAGUUUGAUCCUGGCUCAGAACGAACGCUGGCGGCGCGCCUAAUACAUGCAAGUCGAGCGAGAAGACGUAGCAAUACGUUUGUAAAGCGGCGAACGGGUGAGGAAUACAUGGGUAACCUACCCUCGAGUGGGGAAUAACUAACCGAAAGGUUAGCUAAUACCGCAUACGACUCCUGGUCUGCGGAUCGGGAGGGAAAGCGAUACCGUGGGUAUCGCGCUCUUGGAUGGGCUCAUGUCCUAUCAGCUUGUUGGUGAGGUAACGGCUCACCAAGGCUUCGACGGGUAGCUGGUCUGAGAGGACGAUCAGCCACACUGGCACUGCGACACGGGCCAGACUCCUACGGGAGGCAGCAGUAAGGAAUAUUGCGCAAUGGGCGACAGCCUGACGCAGCGACGCCGCGUGGGGGAUGAAGGUCUUCGGAUUGUAAACCCCUUUCGGCAGGGAAGAUGGAACGGGUAACCGUUCGGACGGUACCUGCAGAAGCAGCCACGGCUAACUUCGUGCCAGCAGCCGCGGUAAUACGAAGGUGGCAAGCGUUGUUCGGAUUUACUGGGCGUACAGGGAGCGUAGGCGGUUGGGUAAGCCCUCCGUGAAAUCUCCGGGCCUAACCCGGAAAGUGCGGAGGGGACUGCUCGGCUAGAGGACGGGAGAGGAGCGCGGAAUUCCCGGUGUAGCGGUGAAAUGCGUAGAGAUCGGGAGGAAGGCCGGUGGCGAAGGCGGCGCUCUGGAACAUUUCUGACGCUGAGGCUCGAAAGCGUGGGGAGCAAACAGGAUUAGAUACCCUGGUAGUCCACGCCU
rnacentral:rRNA from 1 species